GUGCCAGCAGCCGCGGUAAUACGGAGGGUGCGAGCGUUAAUCGGAAUGACUGGGCGUAAAGGGCAUGUAGGCGGAUAAUUAAGUUAGGUGUGAAAGCCCUCGGCUCAACCGGGGAACGGCAACUGAAACUAUUUUUCUUGAGUGCAGAAGAGGAGAGUGGAACUCCAUGUGUAGCGGUGAAAUGCGUAGAGAUGUGGAGGAAUACCGGUGGCGAAGGCGGCCUUCUGGACAGAUACUGACGCUGAGAUGCGAAAGCGUGGGGAGCAAACAGGAUUAGAUACCCUGGUAGUCCACGCUGUAAACGAUGUCGAUUUGGAGUUUGUUGCCUAGAGUGAUGGGCUCCGAAGCUAACGCGAUAAAUCGACCGCCUGGGGAGUACGGCCGCAAGGUUAAAACUCAAAUGAAUUGACGGGGGCCCGCACAAGCGGUGGAGCAUGUGGUUUAA
rnacentral:rRNA from 1 species